UACGGAGGGUGCAAGCGUUAUCCGGAUUCACUGGGUUUAAAGGGUGCGUAGGCGGGCUUGUAAGUCAGUGGGGAAAGCCCGGAGCUUAACUCCGGAACUGCCAUUGAUACUGCAAGUCUUGAGUACACUUGAGGUGGGCGGAAUACAUCAUGUAGUGGUGAAAUACUUAGAUAUGAUGUAGAACACCGAUUGCGAAGGCAGCUCACUAAAUUGUAACUGACGCUGAGGCACGAAAGCGUGGGGAUCAAACAGG
rnacentral:rRNA from 1 species